rnacentral:tRNA from 1 species
AGCUCAGUGGUAGAGUGUGUGUUUAGCAUGCAUGAAGUCCUAGGUUCAAUCCCUAG